GAACGCUGGCGGCAGGCCUAACACAUGCAAGUCGAACGGUAACAGGAAGCAGCUUGCUGCUUCGCUGACGAGUGGCGGACGGGGGAGUAAUGUCUGGGAAACUGCCUGAUGGAGGGGGAUAACUACUGGAAACGGUAGCUAAUACCGCAUAACGUCGCAAGACCAAAGAGGGGGACCUUCGGGCCUCUUGCCAUCGGAUGUGCCCAGAUGGGAUUAGCUAGUAGGUGGGGUAACGGCUCACCUAGGCGACGAUCCCUAGCUGGUCUGAGAGGAUGACCAGCCACACUGGAACUGAGACACGGUCCAGACUCCUACGGGAGGCAGCAGUGGGGAAUAUUGCACAAUGGGCGCAAGCCUGAUGCAGCCAUGCCGCGUGUAUGAAG
rnacentral:rRNA from 1 species